GACGAACGCUGGCGGCGUGCUUAACACAUGCAAGUCGAACGGAAAGGCCCUGCUUUUGUGGGUUGCUCGAGUGGCGAACGGGGGAGUAACACGUGAGUAUCCUGCCCUUGUCUUUGGGAUAACUUCAGGAAACUGGGGCUAAUAUCGGAUAGGAGCUCCUGCUGCACGGUGGGGGUUGGAAAGUGUCGGCGGUUGGGGAUGGAUUCGCAGCUUAUCAGCUUGUUGGUGGGGUAGUGGCUUACCAAGGCUUUGACGGGUAGCCGGCCUGAGAGGGUGACCGGCCUCAUUGGUACUGCGAUACGGCGCAGACUCCUACGGGAGGCAGCAGUGGGGAAUAUUGCGCAGUGGGCGGACGCCUGAUGCAGCAGCGCCGGGUGCGGGAUGACGUCCUUCGGGGUGUAAACCGCUUUCUCCGGUGCCGAAGCGGGAGUGACGGUAAUGGGUAAGGAAGCACCGGCUAACUACGUG
rnacentral:rRNA from 1 species